AUAAAUAUAACCAUUGGCCAAAACACUUCCUCACCCUGUUCAGAGUCAUGAUAAUGCAUUUAAAGCUGUGUUGAAAAGCUAAGUUUGGGGUAAAAACCCCAAAAGCUCUAAAAGCCCAAGAAAGUGCAAAAACAAAAGAAAAAGAAAAAAUUGAUGAGUCGAGAAAAAGAAAGAAAAAUAAAAAGAGAAAAAUGAUAACUCAAAGAUUCAAAAGAAAGAAGCACGGAAAAAGGGCAGUCGGAAAAGAAAACCGGGGAAAUAAAAGAAACAAACACAGGAUGUAACAUCGACUCUGAACCAAAAGCCACUUGUUUUCCUUUUUUAAUCCAUACCCUAACCCAAGCCAAG
rnacentral:lncRNA from 1 species